GUACACUCCUACGGGAGGCAGCAGUGGGGAAUUUUGGACAAUGGGCGAAAGCCUGAUCCAGCAAUGCCGCGUGAGUGAAGAAGGCCUUCGGGUUGUAAAGCUCUUUUGUCAGGGAAGAAACGGUGAAAGCUAAUAUCUUUUGCUAAUGACGGUACCUGAAGAAUAAGCACCGGCUAACUACGUGCCAGCAGCCGCGGUAAUACGUAGGGUGCAAGCGUUAAUCGGAAUUACUGGGCGUAAAGCGUGCGCAGGCGGUUUUGUAAGUCUGAUGUGAAAUCCCCGGGCUCAACCUGGGAAUUGCAUUGGAGACUGCAAGGCUAGAAUCUGGCAGAGGGGGGUAGAAUUCCACGUGUAGCAGUGAAAUGCGUAGAUAUGUGGAGGAACACCGAUGGCGAAGGCAGCCCCCUGGGUCAAGAUUGACGCUCAUGCACGAAAGCGUGGGGAGCAAACAGGAUUAGAAACCCCAGUAGUCCCAUG
rnacentral:rRNA from 1 species